rnacentral:lncRNA from 10 species
CUCUCACCUGGGUUUCAUUAUUCACUUCUGCGUUCUCUCUCUCUCUUUUUUCUUAACUUUUUAUUCUUUUCAUAAAUCUUGUUGCCCCAAACUCAGAUUUGUGGAGCCUCUCAGUUUAAAUGACUAAUGGACUAGCUGUAGUUUUUGAGUCCCUAUUCCAAAUUAUUGAAGGAACAAACAAAGUUCUCUGGCUUGCACCCACAGUCCACUCUGGUUUCAGCCAUCUCUAGCCUGGCUCAGCAGGCCUGGAGGGAUGAUGCUGUCGACUCGUAGGCCAUGAGUUCCACUCCUUAAUGGGCAGGUAGGAGCAACUAUGAUGACAAGCUAGGCCCAGAGAAGAGGACAUGAGCCAGGCCAGCACCACAGGAGGAGGGGGACAAUUCUUAAUGGAUCUGAGUGAGAUUCAGUGACAACUCUGAAACACAUACUAAAUCUUUUGACACUUAACGUUUUUGCUAUGGAGUUUCCUACUGCCUCAUUCUAAACUUUCAUUUAAUGGAAAUGAUUACUUUUUCCCAUAAGUAUUUUUGACAAAUUUCACCUAAAAUGUCAAUUAUUUCUGAGAUAUGAGUUUUUUCUCUGUGCAUUAAUUGCUUCUCCAAUAAUUGUGUUCGACAACUUGAUAUCAAUUGUUUUAAUAGCUUAAAUGGUAAUAAAAUUGCUCUUUUAGGUGCUAUGACUAUAACAUAUUAAAUGGAUGUAAUCAACACAGUUAUAGGUAAACUGUGGACAUGUGAAAUCUGAGACAGGCGAAUUUAUUUUCUGCUUAUACUGCUAAAGAGACCCAAGAACUGGAGAAGUUCUUCUUAAGAUUGAACUGAGGUUUUGGAGAAGCACCUGAAGAAAUGAGAAAGGAAAGACGCACACACACAGUUGCCUGGUUGGCCAACUCCGGGUGUCAGAUGGAGACACAGGUGUGGCAGAUUGAUCACCAGCAACCUAUGUAGAAUUGCCAGCUAAGUUUAGAUUCUGAGGAUAAUGCAUGGACGUCUCUGAGGAGGCACUCUUCUGCCCAUCAUGCACUGUGCUGAGGGAAGCCAGAUGACAAGAUAAACAGAUACAUGAAUUGCAUGCAUUUCUGUAUAUAUGUGCAUUUGUAUACAUACAUAACUUCACAUCAAGAAAUGCAUAUUGACAGAAGCAAAGAAAAUGCUGUAAUGGAGAAUAAAAUGGAGAACAAGUCUGUUGGAAGAGGAGACAUCUGUGCUGAGAACUGAAAGAGAAUACAAUCUCUCUUCCAAUUUCUCUUCUCUAAGAAAAUAGCUUUAUGGUUUAUACUCAUAAGAUUGUUUUGAGGAUUGAAUGAUGUGAAUGAUGUAAAUGAUGUAACAAUUUUUACAGAACAUCUAGUAGUAUCACUGAUGAUUCCCCAAUGCUUACAAUAGUUUCUUCACAGCGGUGGCUGCAGAACAGCGGUGGCUGUAGAACAGCGGAUUUUGGUGACCCGCAAAUGCUGCUGCCUGAUCAUUCCUCUGGAAGUUUUGUCUCAGAGGAGUACCCAGCCGUG